GAAACGAAAUAAGGGCAUACGGAGGAUGCCUAGGCUCUGCAAGGCGAAGAAGGACGUGAUAAGCUGCGAAAAGCUGCGGGGAGGUGCAAAUAACCAUUGAUCCGCAGAUGUCCGAAUGGGGCAACCCACCAGCAAUGGUACCUCGGAUGAGGAGCGAACCCUCUGAACUGAAACAUCUAAGUAGGAGGAGGAAGAGAAAACAAAAGUGAUACCGCAAGUAGUGGCGAGCGAACGCGGCACAGCCCAAACCCAUGGCGUUUCGGCGUGAUGGGGGUUGUAGGACUGCGAUAUAUGACUACGCAAAGAAUUGGAACGGCAUGGAAAGGCCGGUCAGAGAGGGUGAGAACCCCGUACAAGUAAAGUGCGUAGGAGUUAGCAGUAUCCUGAGUAGAUCGGGGCACGAGAAACCCAGAUUGAAACGGGCGGGACCACCCGCCAAGGCUAAACACUCUGCAGAGACCGAUAGCGAACCAGUACCGUGAGGGAAAGGUGAAAAGAACCUUGAAUAAAGGAGUGAAAAAGACCCUGAAACCGUGUGCCUACAAGCGGUCGGAGCGGCGCGAUGCCGUGACGGCGUGCCUUUUGCAUAAUGAUCCUACGAGUUACUGUUACCGGCAAGGUUAAGCACUUCAGGUGCGUAAGCCGCAGCGAAAGCGAGUCUUAAAAGGGCGUCAAAGUCGGUAGGAGUAGACGCGAAACCUUGUGAUCUACCCAUGGCCAGGUUGAAGUGGGGGUAACACCCCAUGGAGGACCGAAUCGGUAAGCGUUGAAAAGCUUUCGAAUGAGCUGUGGGUAGGGGUGAAAGGCCAAUCAAACUGGGAAAUAGCUCGUACUCCCCGAAAUGCAUUUCGGUGCAGCGUCGGAGCGAGUUUUACAUAGGUAGAGCUACUGAUUGAAUGCGGGGGCUUCACCGCCUACCAAUUUCAGACAAACUCCGAAUGGUGUAAAACAUCUCCGGCAGUGAGGGCAUGGGUGCUAAGGUCCGUGCCCGAGAGGGAAACAACCCAGACUAUCAGCUAAGGUCCUUAAAUGUAUGCUAAGUUGCAAAAACGAAGUAGGACUGCACAGACAGCCAGGAAGUUGGCUUGGAAGCAGCCAUUCUUUUAAAGAGUGCGUAACAGCUCACUGGUCGAGCGGUUCUGCAUGGAGAAUAAGCGGGCAUAAGUGUACUACCGAAGCUAUAGCAAAGCAAUUUGGGUAGGGGAGCAUUGCGUAUGCGGCGAAGCGGACUUGUAAAGGUCCGUGGAGCGUACGGAAAAGCAAAUGUAGGAAUAAGUAACGAGAAAGCGGGCGAGAAACCCGCUCACCGAAAAACCAAGGGUUCCCCGGCUAUGUUAAUCAGCCGGGGGUCAGUCGGGACCUAAGGCUAAACCGAAGACAGGUGAUGCCGAUGGACAAACGUUUAAUAUUACGUUACUGGAAUAGAGUGCGACGGGGCGACCCGGUACUACCUCUCCGCGCGCAGACGGAAUAGCGCGUUAAAGGUCAAAGCGGGCCGUGCGGCAAAUCCCACGGCGUAAAGUGAUGACCGAUAGUACGCGGCGGCUUCGGCCAAAGCGAUAGCGAGACGAAAAGCCGGCAAGAAAAACCUCUAAGCUUCAGCUUUAUUCCACCCGUACCGUAAACCGACACAGGUGGUUGGGAAGAGAAUUCUAAGGUGCUCGAGAGAAUCAUGGCUAAGGAACUAGGCAAAAUAGACCUGUAACUUCGGGAAAAAGGUCACCGCAGCGAUGCGGUCUCAGGAAAAAGGUCCAGGCGACUGUUUAACAAAAACACAGGACUUUGCUAAAUCGAAAGAUGAUGUAUAAGGUCUGACACCUGCCCGGUGCUGGAAGGUUAAGAGGAGAUGUGAAUCGCAAGAGGCAGCAUUGAAUUGAAGCCCCAGUAAACGGCGGCCGUAACUAUAACGGUCCUAAGGUAGCGAAAUUCCUUGUCGGGUAAGUUCCGACCUGCACGAAUGGUGUAACGAUCCGGACACUGUCUCAGUCAUGAUCUCGGUGAAAUUGUAGUAUCGGUGAAGAUG
rnacentral:rRNA from 1 species